AAUCUGGAGACAGGUGCUGCAUGGCUGUCGUCAGCUCGUGUCGUGAGAUGUUGGGUUAAGCCCGUAACGAGCGCAACCCUUGUCCUUAGUUACCAGCACGUUAUGGUGGGCACUCUAAGGAGACUGCCGGUGUUAAACCGGAGGAAGGUGGGGAUGACGUCAAGUCCUCAUGGCCUUUAUGACCAGGGCUACACACGUACUACAAUGGCCGAUACAAAGGGCAGCGACACUGCGAGGUGAAGCCAAUCCCGUAAAAUCGGUCUCAGUCCGGAUUGGAGUCUGCAACUCGACUCCAUGAAGUUGGAAUCGCUAGUAAUCGUGGAUCAGCAUGCCACGGUGAAUACGUUCCCGGGCCUU
rnacentral:rRNA from 1 species